rnacentral:rRNA from 1 species
UGCCUCUAGGUUAGUAUUAGAGGUAUCUUUUGCACUACAUAAUCAAAAAAGAUUAUAAGUAGCUGCGUUAGCGUGAUUGUACAAAGGUAGCAUAUAGAAACCCCCUUAAUUAGGGGAUAGGAUGAAAGAGGUGUAUUCUAAAAAUUUUUAUUUUUCUUAAUUAUUAAAAUUAAAUUUCAUGUAAAAAUGCAUGAUUAAAGAAGUAGUACGAGAAGACCCGAGAAGCCUUGAAAUUUGAAAAAUUUUGUUGGGAAAACAGGAGAAAUUAAUAUCUCUUUAAUGAACUAAUGUUUAAUAUAUGUAUUGGUUACUCUCGGGAUAACAGGGUGAUUCAAGAAUUCAGUUCUUAUGGACUUCUUGGAGAACUACCUCGAUGUUGGAUUGUGUUUUCUUUUUUGUUGUACAAUCAAUAAAAGUUAGUACUGUUCGCACUUUAACAAUGC